rnacentral:lncRNA from 1 species
UUUCCUUGCAAGAAACCUCGAGGCCAUGAUUAUGUCAUUUCCCUCUAAUCAAUGGAUGAGUAUUUUUAACUUAUGGACUCUUUCUCAAACUAAUUCUUCCCCUCUGUCUAUAGGUAAUUGUGACUCACCUCUUCCAUCACCUGGUCUGUCAUAUCCAUGCACUCCACUUUAUGCUGUCAUCCAGCCCCUUCCAUUCCAACAACUUCUUCUAAAUCAACUUCAAUUUUACCCUCUGCCUCUGCGGACUUGAUGGCUACCCCACAUUUGCCACCUCAUUCAUCUGAUGAAACAGUCUCUGACACCUCUCACUUUCAUUUAACAAACUCUCAUUUGUCUUCUUAGCAUCAGGAUUCGGACACAACACCCAUGUCGCCUCUUUCCGCUUCAAAGCACGUCGAGUCUCAACAUAAAGUUGUUCCUAAUGUUUCAUUUGGGCAACCUGAGUUACUUGAACUAUCGGAGCCUACGAAUCAGCUGAUGGUAACAAGCUCUCAACUUAGCAUUUACAAACCCAAUCCCAAAUAUGAACUCACUGUUGUCUGUCAAGAUAUCCCAAGAGUGCUCUACUCAGUUAAAAUUGCUUUUAUUCAUGUUGGUUGGAGAGCAAAAAUGCAAGAGGAAAUGGAUGCUCUUCAUCGUAACAGCACCUUAUACAUUGAAUUAAAUUCUGGUAAUUUAUGAGUAAAUAAUAGACUUCCAGCUACAAAACCAAUCACUCACAAUGUUGAAAGCUUGGCGACGGCGUUGGGGCUCUCGACUGCAUAGUGAGAGGGAGAUAUAGGGUUUGGUUUGCGCCACACCGUCGUCUGUUUUUUGCAAAUUCAAUUUGUCGUAUAACAGG